rnacentral:misc_RNA from 1 species
GAGAGAUUAUGAGAAGACUAGCAAUAUAGGCCCUUCCAUUAUUUUCCAGAUCCAAACAGAAGGUAAGCCAAGUUGUUGGCCUAUCAAUAAAUGAGGUGUAAUCAGGAAAUAAAGACGACAAAAAAGCCAUAGUUAAAGAUAUAUUUUUCUGGUUCAUCUCUACUUUGUGUUUUUUGAAAUAGGUUCAUCUGUGCUUGAAUCUCACAUGGAGCUUCAAUUCCCUUCUUUUUUGAUCCUCUUCUUUGCCUUUCUUCUCUUCCUGUACACGGUACUCAAAUUACUAAGCGCUUUCUCAUCAGCAAAGCUACCGCCUGGGCCGAGGAAACUUCCCAUCAUCGGAAACCUGCACCAGCUCAAGGGGGCGCCCCAUCGCUCCCUAAAAGAACUGGCUGAGAAACAUGGACCCAUAAUUCACCUGCUGCUUGGCGAGCUUAGGACCACCGUAAUUUCCUCAGCGGAAUGUGCUAAAGAAGUCUUGACAACCCAUGAUGUAAUCUUUGCUCAAAGACCCAAAACUCUAGCUUCCCAGAUCCUGUCUUAUAAUUUCUUGGACAUUGGUUUUGCACCAUAUGGCACCUAUUGGAGACAGCUGAGGAGAAUCUGCAAGUUGGAGCUUUUAAGUCAAAGUCGAGUUGACUCAUUCCGAUCCAUGAGGGAAGAGGAGGUGACUAAUCUCGUCAAGGAAAUAUCUUCAUGUCGAGGAUCGCCAAUCGAUCUUAGUAAGAAACUGUUUUCAAUGACUUCUUGGAUAGCCAUGAGUGCAGCUUUUGGGAAACACUGUAAACACAAAGAAGAAUACAUAUCCGCUGCCUACAGGAUUAUAAAGCACAACACAGGUUUUACCCUUGUCAAUCUAUUCCCUUCUUUUAAAGUUCUUGAAUGGAUUUCAGGGGCCAGGCCCAAGCUUGAGAAAUUGCAUCGAGAGAAAGAUAAGAUAGUUCAGAAAAUCCUUGAUGAGCACAAAGAUAGGAGGGAGAAAAGGAUGAAAGAUGGUGAACAAGUAGCAGAGGAUGAUGAGGAAGACCAAAUUGAUCUUCUUUUGAAGCUCCGAGAGCAAGGGGACCUGGAAUUUCCAUUGACUGAUGACGCCAUCAAAGCUAUUCUCUGGGUCAGUACUUUCCUCAUCAGUGGGAAAAGCAUAUAUUUAAGAUAUUAAUUUAAUACCAUAAUGUAGUAUAAUUAUAGAGCUUUAUAAGCAUGUAGAAAUAAAUUGUUAUAUGUUUAUUUAUUUAAUGCUCAUAUUCUACAUAUUUGUUAGUUUCUAGUAAAACACAAUGGGAAAUUUUUAAGGGGAAAUAGAUUGUCAUUAUAUGAGAAUCAGGAUUUAAAUUUGACUAUUGGAUUAAUGCCCCACGGCAAAAUUAUUUUAUCAAGUUUUUGUCUAAUCUUGUAAUUCUGCUACAGGACUUGGUCACUGCUGGGGCUGAGACAUCAUCCUCAACUAUGGAGUGGGCAAUGACUGAAAUGCUGAGAUUUCCAGAGUCAAUGAAAGAGGCACAAGUUGAGGUACGUCGAGUUUAUGGUGAAAAAGGAAGGGUAGACGAAUCAAAUCUUCAUGAAUUGCAAUACUUAAAAGCAGUAGUGAAAGAAACCCUGAGGCUGCAUCCUCCAUCUCCUCUGUUAAUGCCAAGGCAGUCAAGUGAGGCUUGCCAGAUUAGUGGCUAUGACAUACCUACCAAUACUAGAGUCAUAAUUAAUGCAUUUGCAAUCGGAAGAGAUCCAAAGAACUGGCCUGAACCUGAGAAAUUUUCCCCAGAGAGAUUCCUUAACAACUCCAUAGAUUACAAGGGAAUGGAUUUUGAGUAUAUCCCAUUUGGCGCUGGAAGGAGAAUGUGUCCUGGAAUAUAUUUUGCUCAAGUUAAUAUUGAGUUGUUACUCGCACAAUUGCUGUUCCAUUUUGAUUGGAAACUACCUGAAGGAAUGAGGAAAGAAGAUAUAGACAUGGGUGAAUCUUUUGGUUUAGCUGUUUGCAGAAAAGUAGGUCUGGCUGUAAUUCCCAUUUCUUGGGCGGACAAUUGACGCCAGGGUGAAAAAAGCCUUAGCAUUCUCCUGACCUGCUCUGCUCUGCUCUGCUCUGUUCUGUAGGAUGUGAAUAGAUAAGAAAUAUAGUGUGGAGUCGUCUACGAUGAAAUAUGCUUUUGGCUAUGGCUAUGUAGAUAAGUCUGAUAUGUUUUAAUUAAUAUGUUACUAACCAAUACUUAUAAACCUUUUAGUAUUUGGCUAUGGCGGGUUUUUUUUUUUUUU